UCAAGCGAACAAGGGCGCAGGGCGAAUGCCUUGGCACUGGGAGCCGAUGAAAGACGUGAUAAGCUGCGAUAAGCUUCGGGGAGCUGCAAAUAAGCAUUGAUCCGGAGAUUUCUGAAUGAGGAAACUCACCUGGGUUCAUACUCAGGUACGUUAUACUGAACUUAAAAAUAGGUAUAUCGAGGGAACCGCCUGAACUGAAACAUCUAAGUAGGGCGAGGAAGAGACAUCAAACGAGAUUCCGUAAGUAGUGGCGAGCGAACGCGGAAGAGGGCAAACCGGAAGUAGAAAUACUUCCGGGGUACGGACCGCAUUUAGGACUUAAGUUGUUAACCGAACGGCAUGGGAAGGCCGGUCAGAGAGUGUGAGAACCACGUAGGUGAAAACGACAAGAGCUGAGCGAGUUCCAGAGUACGGCCAGACACGUGAAACCUGGUCGGAAUAUGGGGGGACCACCCUCCAACCCUAAAUACUACCCAGUGACCGAUAGCGUAUAGUACUGUGAAGGAAAGGUGAAAAGCACCCCGGGAGGGGAGUGAAAAAGAACCUGAAACCCUGUGCCUACAAGCACCUAGAGCACGUCAAUGUGUGAUAGGGUACUUUUUGUAGAACGGUCCGGCGAGCGAUUGUAUGCAGCAAGGUUAAGGACUUAAGGUCUGGAGCCGAAGCGAAAGCGAGUUUGAAAAGGGCGUUAAGUUGCAUACAAUGGGCCCGAAACCGGGUGACCUACCCAUGGUCAGGUUGAAGUGGAAGUAAAAUUCCAUGGAGGACCGAACCGACCUCCGUUGAAAAGGCGGCGGAUGAACUGUGGGUAGCGGAGAAAUUCCAAUCGAACCCGGAGAUAGCUGGUUCUCCCCGAAAUAGUUUUAGGACUAGCCUCAAGUUAGAUACCUGGAGGUAAAGCACUGAAUAGCCUAGCGGCCGAGAGGUUAGCGAAGCUUAUCAAACUCAGAAUGCCAGAGUAUUGAUGCUUGGGAGUCAGACAGUGUCAGAUAAAUGUCAUUGUCAAAAGGGAAACAGCCCAGAUCUACAGCUAAGGUCCCAAAGUCAGGUUAAGUGGAAAACGAUGUGAAGAUACGUAGACAACCAGGAUGUUGGCUCAGAAGCAGCCACACAUUCAAAGAGUGCGUAAUAGCUCACUGGUCGAGCGUCUUUGCGCGGAGAAUUUAACGGGGCUAAACCUGACACCGAAGCUUAGGCAAUACAGCAAUGUAUUGGGUAGGGGAGCGUUGUAUACGCGGUGAAACAGUAGCGCAAGCGGCUGUGGAGUGUAUAGAAGUGAGAAUGCCGGAAUGAGUAGCGCGAAUGCAGUGAGAAUCUGCAUGGCCGAAAGCCUCAGGUUUCUGGAGGAAGGUUCGUCCGCUCCAGGUUAGUCGGGAGCUAAGGUGAGGCCUAACGGCGUAGCCGAUGCACAGACGGUAGAGAUUCCGUCACCACCAAAAGAGUUAAGCACAGGGACACAUUUGAAGUCUCGGAGCCGGGUGUUGGUUCCGGUAGCGAUCGAGGGAAGUUAGUACCGAAGUCCGGGAUGGAAGAUGGCGAGAAAAGCUGUGUGUAUUUCUGCGGUGCCCGUACCGCAAACCGACACAGGUAGGUAGGAAGAAGAUUCUAAGGCCAACGGGAGAAGGGUUGUUAAGGAACUCGGCAAAUUGACCCCGUAACUUCGGGAGAAGGGGUGCUCCAGAGAUGGAGCCGCAGAGAAUCGGCCCAAGCAACUGUUUACCAAAAACACAGGUUUGUGCUAAAUCGAAAGAUGACGUAUACGAGCUGACGCCUGCCCGGUGCUGGAAGGUUAAGAGGAGAUGUGCAAGCAUUGAAUCGAAGCCCCAGUGAACGGCGGCCGUAACUAUAACGGUCCUAAGGUAGCGAAAUUCCUUGUCAGGUAAGUUCUGACCCGCAUGAAAGGCGUAAUGAUUUGGGCACUGUCUCGACAGCCCGCCCGGCGAAAUUGUAGUACCGGUGAAGAUGCCGGUUACCCGCGACAAGACGGAAAGACCCCAUGGAGCUUUACUGUAGCCUAAUAUUGGGUUUCGAUGUUGCAUGCACAGGAUAGAUGGGACACAGGGAAACAAGUGCUUUGGCAUUUGUGGAGUGGCCGUUGGGAUACCAUCCUUGCGAUAUUGGAAUUCUAACCUGCGCCUUUGAAUCAAGGCGGGGGACAUUGUUAGGUGGGCAGUUUGACUGGGGCGGUCGCCUCCUAAAGAGUAACGGAGGCGUUCAAAGGUUCGCUCAGCUUGAACGGAAAUCAAGCAAAAGAGUGCAAACGCAGAAGCGAGCCUAACUGCGAGACUGACGGGUCGAGCAGUAACGAAAGUUGGAGUUAGUGAUCCGGUGGUAUGUGAGUGGAAAUGCCAUCGCUCAACGGAUAAAAGUUACCCUGGGGAUAACAGGCUGAUCUCCCCCAAGAGUCCACAUCGACGGGGAGGUUUGGCACCUCGAUGUCGGCUCAUCGCAUCCUGGGGCUGUAUUCGGUCCCAAGGGUUUGGCUGUUCGCCAAUUAAAGCGGUACGCGAGCUGGGUUCAGAACGUCGUGAGACAGUUCGGUCCCUAU
rnacentral:rRNA from 1 species